GCGAGCGGCUAGCUGGCUGUGGCUGGGGCGCCCUGGGGUGGAGAUACCGGUCCCACGCACCCGCUCCGACCCUUGGAGGCAUAUCUCCGUCUUUGAGAAGCUAGUGAAUUUUAUUUAUGAAAGUGAGAAGGACAAUGAAAGUGCUGCUUCUGGUAGUAACAAUGAACUGGAGACUAAGAAGAAGUCAUUAGAAAGCCAUGCUCCAGAGACAGAGGCAGGGGAAGUGCUGGAAGGAGGGAGGUCACAUUGCAUAAUGCCUCAGCAAUAGCGGGACAGGAAAUAGAAAGCAAGCAUCAGUGGGAUGAACGGACAACAUGACUCAAGCCUGCUGAUGGAUUUCCGG